UAGUCAUUUUGCAUACUCGCCAAUUUUUAGGCCAAAUUUUAUGUCUGAAAUGAUGUUGUUUUCAUCUUCAACUGUACAAUAUUACGUUUGUUCUAUUUUUCUACACGGUCAUAUUUAUGUCACCCGAGUAUAUUUAGGUCAACUGAUCAUAUUUAUGCAAUGUCACCAUGUCAAAAAAUGAGUGAGUAUGCAAAAUGAGAAAAAUAAAAAAAAAUAGUUGAAA
rnacentral:lncRNA from 1 species